AUGAAGCUGGAUACACUGGUAUCACUGGGUCCUGCAGAGUUUUAUUCAAUAGGAAUAUGGGAGGAGAUACCAGAGACCUCAUUCUCUCUGCCAUGUGAGAACACAAUGAGAAGGCAGCCAUCUGUAAGACGGGAAGAGAGCUUUCACCAGGAGGUGAACUGGCCAGAACAUUGAUUUUGCACUUCCCAGCCUCCAGAACUGUGAGAGAAGAUUUAUGUUUUCUAAUUUACCCAGUUUGUUAUAUUUUGUUAUAAAAGUCUGAGCAGACUAAGAUAGGUUAUAAUCCAAUACUGGAUUAUUUAUUUUAUUGCCCAAAUUGUUUGAAUCUGCCUAUGACAUGGAAGCUCCCAACUUCCAGUUGUCCCACAUUUUGGGACUGAACCCAUAUACAUCUUACAUGUAUUGACUGAUAUCUUAUGCCUUCCCAAAAUGUAUAAAACCAAGCUGUAGCCCAACCACCUUGGGCACACGUUCUCAAGAUCUCCUGGGGCUGUGUCACAGGACAUAGGUCCCUCACAUUUGACCCAGAAUAAAUCUCUUCAAAUAUUUUACAGAGUUUGACUCUUUUUAUUGACACCAGUAGUAGCCCACUUCCCAUUUUGACAACCAAAAAUGUUUUCUUCUUCAAGGAAGCCUUGGCUCUGCUUUUGAGGUCUUUUAACUGACUGAGGCAGGGUCAUCUAUAUUACCUAGGAUAAUCUCUCUUGCCUAAAGUCAACUGAUUAAGAACUUUAAUCACGGCCGGGCGCGGUGGCUCAAGCCUGUAAUCCCAGCACUUUGGGAGGCUGAGACGGGCGGAUCACGAGGUCAGGAGAUCGAGACCAUCCUGGCUAACACGGUGAAACCCCAUCUCUAUUAAGAAAUACAAAAGAAAAACUAGCCGGGCGAGGUGGCGGGCGCCUGUAGUCCCAGCUACUCGGGAGGCUGAGGCCGGAGAAUGGCGUAAACCCGGGAGGCGGAGCUUGCAGUGAGCUGAGAUCUGGCCACUGCACUCCAGCCUGGGCGACAGAGCGAGACUCCGUCUCAAAAAAAAAAAAAAAAAAAAGAACUUUAAUCACAUCUACAAGACAUCUUCACAAUAGUAUUUAGUGCUUGAAUAGUGUCUAGCCAGCUGACAUAUAAAAUUGCCCAUCACAAGAAGUGUUCAUUUUUCUGACUCAAAGAAAUGGUAGUACUAAUCCCCUGUCAGUAAUUUGUUUGGUCAUGGCCAUGUCAUGAAAGUCUGGUCAAUGAUGUAGAGGGGGAAUUUUGUUGAGGAAAUUAUGGAGCAGGUUUGCUCUUUUACAAGGAGACUCUAGGAAGAGAUUGUUUCUUAUUCUUCUGUUUGUUAAUCUUCUGUUGGUUACUGUGUCUGGAUGUUUAAAACAGGAAUGACUGUGGCCAACUAUAGCCUGAAACCAUAACUGACACAUUAAGGAUGAAGAGUGGAAAGAUACAAAGAAUACAAGCCCUUGAUGAAAUCACUGAAGGCACCAUCCCUGGAGCUUUCCUUACCUUUUUAGGUGAACAACACAUUUUCCUUGUUGCUUAAGCUACUUUAUAGUAGGUUCUCUGUCAUUUGUAGCAGCAGAAAUGAUUUCUCCUGACACACAGGCUCUGCCCACAUUGUGGAAAAGACGGCCACCACCAGUAGCACAAGCUUGUUUCUUUUAGUUUGUUUUCUUUUUAUGUUAGAUUAGCAACCCCGGUGGAAAAGGACACUUUUUCUCUUAAGUGUCAGCAACAGUCCCAGGAAGGCACCCAUUGGCCCAGCUUAGAUCACAUGUCCAUCUCUGAACCAGCACCAUAGCUGGAAGAAUGGAGUACGCUGUUGGGUCAGACCUGGUCCACAUGGCCACCUCUGGGGCUAGGCGUGGGAUUAGCUCUACCAGGACUAUAUGGAUCAUCAGUGGAGGAUGGCUUAUUUCCUGAGGGAAAAUUGGCAUGCUGACAUCAGAAAGGACAGGGGGAAUGUAUGCCUGGCAGGCUAAACAGGUGACCUCUCAAACAUCCUUCACAGGCUGGCCUCAACUUGUCGCUUCAUAGGGAUUUCUUAUUGUCCUCCGUAACUAUUGCUCCAGAACAAACUCUUCUACCCACAGGCAGCUCAAUUCAACAGAUUUGGAAAAAAACUCCUGCCAUGUAGUGGAUAGAUCCGAAUAUUCAAAGGGGAAGACAACACACCUCUUGAUUUUGGUGAGCUCUCUGUCUUUU
rnacentral:lncRNA from 1 species